UUCAGACAGAGUCUGGUUCUUGCAGGAGGCCGAAAGGAGGCCGCUUAUUGUAGGAGCUCGAUCAAAGAUCGAUUGUCAUGGGAGCUCAGAGUAACGAUCUGGCCGGUGGAUCCUGCCCCAUGGUAAAAGCUCGUCUGGGAUCCGACUAUGAAGAAGCUCAACUGAAGUCUACCUGUAAUAGAAGUUCGGAAGAAAUUUAUUUAUAGGAGAGGCUCGAAUGGAAUUUGCUUAUAGUAGAUAUCUGGGGUAGACAGCCUGCUGUAGGAAUUCGGAGU
rnacentral:lncRNA from 1 species